rnacentral:lncRNA from 1 species
CAGUGAAUGAAGGUAAACAAAUAACGAUCGAUUACUUCUGACAUAGAUGCGACUAAUUGAACUCAGGCCGAACAUGGCAAGUAGCACCUCGUUGAAGUUAACAGCAACAAAAAAUAAAAGAAACAUUCAAAUUGUUUGUCAGUAUAACCCCAGCAAAUAAUGUAUGCUUGUUAUUGAUGAUCGUAAUGCAUUGAUUGGCGCGGACAAUUCAGAUAAGAAAGACAAAAUGGUAAAAAAAGGGGGAACAACUGUUGAAAUGAUCUUCAUCUUCUAUUUUAAAAUGAAAAAUUAAUCUUCAACUGAGAAAGUUUUUCAACAUCAACACGACAGGAAGACAUAUAACAUCCAUCAUCUUGGAUUAGACAAACAAUUGAUAUCCACUCACGAUAGAUACCAAACAUUUCAAACUAGUCAUACAAGCAACGACACCAGUUUUUAAUGAACAUUGGAAUAAAGUGAUAACAAUAACGAAACAGCAUUUGAAGUACUGGGAAUAAGAGACAAAAUGAGAACGAAACGGAUAUCAGAUACAAACCAGUUAAAUUGAAUGAAAAUUUACAGAAAGAAUAUACAAAGCUAAAUAAAGAUAUGAAAAAAUGCGAGAAGGAAAAAACUGCAGUAUAUUAAGAACUUGCCAUGGAAACAGAAUAUGUAUGCCAACUACGUAUACAAGUCUUUAUACUAUUUAUAAGGUCGUC